rnacentral:rRNA from 1 species
AGUGAACGCUGGCGGUAGGCCUAACACAUGCAAGUCGAACGGCAGCACAGUAAGAGCUGGCUCUUACGGGUGGCGAGUGGCGGACGGGUGAGGAAUACAUCGGAAUCUACUUUUUCGUGGGGGAUAACGUAGGGAAACUUACACUAAUACCGCAUACGACCUACGGGUGAAAGCAGGGGAUCUUCGGACCUUGCGCGAUUGAAUGAGCCGAUGUCGGAUUAGCUAGUUGGCGGGGUAAAGGCCCACCAAGGCGACGAUCCGUAGCUGGUCUGAGAGGAUGAUCAGCCCCACUGCAACUGAGCCACGCUCCAGACUCCUACGGGUGGCAACAGUGGGGAAUAUUGGACCAUGGGCGCAAGCCCGAUCCAGCCCUACCGCGUGGGUGAAGAAGGCCUUCGGGUUGUAACGCCCUUUUGUUGGGAAAGAAAAGCAGCAGGUUAAUACCCCGCUGUUCUGACGGUCCCCAAAGAAUAAGCACCGGCUAACUUCGUG